AUGGGCCCAACGAGGAGAUCGCGCUCGGGAGCGGCUCCUCAGCCCCCCAGCAGAGCGCGGCCGAGAGCUCGGGCCCGAGCCUCCGCCUGCGCGCAGACCGCCCUCCUUCUCCACUCCCCCUUCCACCCUGUGAUUUCCCUGCGACCCAACUGGAUCCGUUUGCACAAGAGGUUCCCUCCGCCACCCCGAGCCCCGCGGUGGAGAGAGAGAGGGAGGCAGAGACAGAGAGAAAGGGGGAAUGAGACCGGGAGGGAAUGGGGCCGAGCUGGGCCGAGCGCCGUGCUCCCUGCGGCUGUGGGACUGGGAUUGGGCCUGAGGUUGGGCCUGGACCUAGGCCUGGGGCUGCGGCGGCGGCCGCAGCUGCGGCUGUUCGGGCAGCGGAGAGCGUUGCAGCUCGGGGCACCGAGGGUCAAGUCACUGGCGUCUGGAUGUGCCCACCGACAUACCACCAUACGCGGUCCAGUUGACUGGAAUCCCACGGGGCACGUUUGGAAAUGCAGCCCGGCGGGAUUCCGGUAUAGUAGAAGCUCAAGUUAAACGCCAUCCUCUGAUCUAUUUGCCCUUCGCUCCCUGCCCCCGAUGCCGCAGGCGGACCAGCGGAAAGCUGCCCGUCUGGGCUCUGCCCCAAAGCCAGCUCAGCCUCGAAGCGGUAGGGAAGUAGAGGGGUUACUUUCACUCAAAUAUUCCGCGUCUUGAGCUUUCCUUUCCUAGCUAAGAUUCUUACCCGGAGACUGGGCAGGGACGGUAAAUAAAAACGCGGGGCUCUACCUCCUGGCUAUCUUUCCUCCUCUUUUUUUUUCUAAAAGACUUCUUUGACUUAAAAUGCUCGCUUCCUAGGGUACCUCUGCCUCAAACAGUGCCUCCGUUACGGCAUCGCUACGGUAAAACCUAAUGUCGCCUCUGUCUCCCCGAUUUUCCCAAAUCUGCAGCACUAUCAGGACCGGUUGAAGCACAACCUUCCAGGCGAGGAUAUGAACUCAUACCGCUUACCGGCGUUUCUACCGCAAUCUCAACAGCUCUGGUGCACUGCCUUCAUUCUCCCUCUUCCAAAAUGGUCCCUUCCCGAUAAUGAGAAAUAAUAAACCGUUAUCAUAAGAAACGAGUUUGUUUGUUUGUUUGUUUUUUAACUGGGUCCCAUGCCCGAAAGAUCCGGUAAACACUGUGUAACCAGAGGGCGUUUUAGCUGCUGUUUAGGGCUUCUUGAAGUAUUGGGAUGGGAGCUUGGGACCGGAGAAAAUAAAUAUUUCAUCCAUUUUUCUGGGUCCAACCUAGUCCAUGUAAACUAAAAGGAAAUCCACAACUUCGCCGUCCUCUCCCAUCCCUGUUAAGAAGGAGUUUUCGUAAGCAGUGAUGUUCUUUCUCGUUUAUGUUUGUAAAAAGUCAACGUGCCCAAGGAGAUAUUCAUUUCAAAGCUUUAAAACGAUCCGAGUCAGAUUUCGCCUCCCCAAAUCUAUUUUAAAAUGUCUACCCCAACGCCCAAGUCAGCACCUUUCCCUGAGUUUCGUGGAUUGUAAUGUCUUCAUUCCACACAAUACCACCCUCGAGUUUAAACCGAGACUACCAUCGGCGUUCAAACCAACGUCCCGCUCGAGUGAGCAAGGCGCACAGGGUCAGAGCUGGGUCUCACUACAGCCACCAAUACUCGGCCAAUUCUGAACCCCAGCGUCAACAAAGAAUUGGGGCCCGAGUACUGAGCAGCACUGGGUACUGCAAAUUCCGUUAUCUGGGCUCAUAAUGGAGUUAGAGCUGGAGAAACCGAGGCCCUUUUUUAUCUUAGAAAUGUAAAGGAUGGCGAACGGGAAAUGGGAAAAAAAAUAAUUAAGGAGAAGAAAGAAAAAACAUGGAUAGCAUGGAAAGAAUUUAAGAAAGAAACAGGGUAGGAAAUUUGGCCCAGAGCAUAUAAAUAGUGAGUUAUGUCCAUUUAAAUCUAGCUGGACGAAAAGACUGAUUUGGAGAUUACUUGAGCCGAGUUCAAGCCUAGUGCAAGCUCUGGAAAAUACCUAUUUACAAAGAGCGGCUUCCAAGAGCAGUUGCAGAAAUAAAACGUGUUUGCUCCCAAAUGGCCUUUUCUCGAACAAAGAGUCCCAGGAGUACGGACUGGAGACUUUGAACCAGAAAACAGUAUGAAAACUUGACGCUCCAGUACAAUGUGCAAAGCAAAAUAGUCCGCCCUAUAGUAGGUUUAGCAAAGGAUUUAUUUCUCUCUCUCUCUCUCUUUCUAACCGAAAACUCAGAUAGAGAUCAUUUCUAGCCACUGCAUUUGACCAGUAACCCUGCGAAAUGACCUUACUUUCUUAAAACUUUCACCCCGCCUUCAGAAUAAUACAGAAUGUCUUGUAUAACUCGAUAUAGACAUUAAGUAUUCAUUUAGUUGAAUUUUCAACUUUAGAACUGUUUCUUUCUCUUCCCCGCCAAGUGAGGAGCUUCUCGAGUGGAGUAAAUACAAAACACUACCCGUAGCCUCGGAGAAACUCUGUGAAAACACUGAAUUAGACUUGAAUUUUUAAACUUGAGGGCACUUACCUUGACGCAUUUCCUAAAUCACUGCCAAGAAGGAUUUCACUUCACCUCGCAGGAACGCCCUUCCCAGCCUCGCACAUAUGUUUUUUUCUAAAAAAAAAAAAAUAAUCUUUCGAGGACACUUUUUCGAAUGGUAGCGUGGAAAGUGGAAUUAUUUAACGUGCUUCUCCUAGGAUCUGUAGUGAACAAAGGCCAAGAUUCUUGCAGCGGUUCGCUUCUCCCCCGGCGGCAUUGACAUUGAUCUGAAGCACGCCAUCUCGUGGUAGCAGAGAUCCUAAGGAGGAGAGACUAAUGAAUUCAAACUCGGGAUUCUAAUAAAGGGAUGCCGGAGAGGGUGCCCAGACCACUGCUAUUCAGAUCUAAUUUU
rnacentral:lncRNA from 1 species